rnacentral:rRNA from 1 species
GCGGCAGACUACCAUGCAGUCGAGCGGCAGCGGGAGGUGCUUGCACCUCGCCGGCGAGCGGCGGACGGGUGAGUAAUGCAUAGGAAUCUGCCCGGUAGUGGGGGAUAACCUGGGGAAACCCAGGCUAAUACCGCAUACGCCCCACGGGGGAAAGCAGGGGACCUUCGGGCCUUGCGCUAUCGGAUGAGCCUAUGUCGGAUUAGCUGGUUGGUGAGGUAACGGCUCACCAAGGCGACGAUCCGUAGCUGGUCUGAGAGGAUGAUCAGCCACACUGGGACUGAGACGCGGCCCAGACUCCUACGGGAGGCAGCAGUGGGGAAUAUUGGACAAUGGGCGCAAGCCUGAUCCAGCCAUGCCGCGUGUGUGAAGAAGGCCCUCGGGUUGUAAAGCACUUUCAGCGGGGAAGAACGCCUCGGGGCCAAUACCCCCGAGGAGGGACAUCACCCGCAGAAGAAGCACCGGCUAACUCCGUGCCAGCAGCCGCGGUAA